rnacentral:rRNA from 1 species
GAGUUUGAUCCUGGCUCAGAACGAACGCUGGCGGCGUGCCUAACACAUGCAAGUCCAACGUGAAAGGGGAGCAAUCCCCCGGUAGAGUGGCAAACGGGUGAGUAAUACAUGGGUGAUCUACCUUAGGGAUGGGGAUACCCUUCCGAAAGGAGGGGCAAUACCGAAUAUUGUCCGGAGCCGUGAAGGGUUCCGGGGAAAGGGAGGCCUCUGAUACAAGCUUUCGCCUUAAGAUGAGCCCAUGGCCCAUCAGCUAGUUGGUAGGGUAAAGGCCCACCAAGGCUACGACGGGUCGCUGGUCUGAGAGGACGACCAGCCACACUGGCACUGAGAUACGGGCCAGACUCCUACGGGAGGCAGCAGUGAGGAAUAUUGCGCAAUGGGGGAAACCCUGACGCAGCAACGCCGCGUGUGGGAAGAAGGCCUUCGGGUCGUAAACCACUUUUGCACGGGACGAAAAAGGGAUAUCGAACAAAUAUCCCCGAUGACGGUACCGUGAGAAUAAGCCACGGCUAACUCUGUGCCAGCAGCCGCGGUAAGACAGAGGUGGCAAGCGUUGUUCGGAAUUACUGGGCGUAAAGAGUCUGUAGGUGGUUUGUCAAGUCUUUGGUGAAAGGCCGUAGCUUAACUAUGGGAAUGCCAAAGAGACUGGCAGGCUGGAGGCUGGGAGAGGGAAGCGGAAUUUCUGGUGUAGCGGUGAAAUGCGUAGAUAUCAAAAGGAAGGCCGGUGGCGAAGGCGGCUUCCUGGAACAGUCCUGACA